AUUGAACGCUGGCGGCAUGCUUUACACAUGCCAGUCGAACGGCAGCGCGGGCUUCGGCCUGGCGGCGAGUGGCGAACGGGUGAGUAAUACAUCGGAACGUGCCCAGUAGUUGGGGAUAGCUCGGCGAAAGCCGGAUUAAUACCGCAUACGACCUGAGGGUGAAAGCGGGGGAUCUUCGGACCUCGCGCUAUUGGAGCGGCCGAUGGCAGAUUAGCCAGUUGGUGGGGUAAAGGCCUACCAAGGCGACGAUCUGUAGCUGGUCUGAGAGGACGACCAGCCACACUGGGACUGAGACACGGCCCAGACUCCUACGGGAGGCAGCAGUGGGGAAUUUUGGACAAUGGGCGAAAGCCUGAUCCAGCAAUGCCGCGUGUGUGAUGAAGGCCUUCGGGUUGUAAAGCACUUUUGGCGGGAACGAAAAGGACUGUGCCAAUACCACGGUUCGAUGACGGUACCCGCAGAAUAAGCACCGGCUAACUACGUG
rnacentral:rRNA from 1 species